UCAUGGGAGGCGAAGGACGCAGAGGGAAGAGACUAUCUGUACAGACUUGGCAAAGAGGCUGAUAACAUGAACAUCGCCGUCGGCCAACGUGCCGGCGUCAUCGAUUCCCUUUUCGUCGGCGAUUUUCUCGGCAAAGAUUCGGACAUUGUGUUUGAUUAUCGUCAAAAAGUGACGAGGUCCUUUGAAUACCUUCAGGGCGAUUAUUACAUCGCUCCUCUCUUCAUGGACAAAGUGGUAUGUCACAUUGUCAAGAACUACCUAGCUCAUAUCCUCAACACUAAAGUUCCUUUAAUUCUAGGUAUUUGGGGAGGAAAAGGACAGGGGAAAUCAUUUCAAACAGAACUUAUAUUUCAGACAAUAGGAAUCGAACCCGUAAUUAUGUCUGCUGGGGAACUAGAAUCAGAGAGAGCUGGAGAACCAGGAAAAUUGAUUCGCGAGCGUUAUAGAACAGCAUCUCAAGUGGUCCAGAACCAAGGGAAAAUGAGCUGUUUGAUGAUCAAUGAUAUUGAUGCUGGACUUGGUAGAUUUGGGAAUACUCAAAUGACGGUCAACAAUCAAAUUGUUGUUGGGACUCUUAUGAAUCUGUCAGACAAUCCUACAAGAGUAAGUGUUGGCCAAGAUUGGCGGGAUUCAGAUAUCACAAACAGAAUUCCAAUCAUUGUAACAGGGAAUGAUUUUUCAACUAUUUAUGCUCCGCUGAUUCGUGAUGGAAGGAUGGAUAAGUUUUACUGGCAACCAAACCUUGAAGAUAUCCUGAAUAUCGUUCACAGAAUGUAUGAGAAAGAUGGUAUAUCUAGGGAUGAAGUUGAAAGGGUCGUGAAAACUUUCCCUAAUCAAGCAUUGGACUUUUACGGAGCUCUAAGAUCACGUACUUAUGACAGAUCUAUUUUAAAGUGGAUUGAUGAUAUUGGAGGUGUUGAAAAUUUCGGAAGCAAACUUCUCAAAAGAAGAAAGGACCAAAGCCUUCCUGUAUUUAUUCCUCCAGAGCAAACGGUGGAUGCUUUACUAGAAGCGGGUUAUUCUCUAAUCAAAGAACAACAGUUGAUAAUGGAAACUAAACUUUCAAAGGAAUACAUGAAGAACAUAGAUGACUGAUAUAAAGAAUGUUUCAGUGGUGCAAGUGCUCGUGAAUUAUGAUUGGGCCAGUUUGGAAUCUUAUCACAGUAAAUUGCUAUCAUGGAUACGGUCCACUUUGGAACAGUGUGCUUCUCUUUAGCCAUUUCCUAGUUUUAAUAACAAUUGUAUUUAUCGUGAUGUAACCCAAUUGUAAGAUAAGGAAAUACAUGAAAUGUCAUCUCCAUAUCAAAACAGUGCAAUGUUUGAUCUUACAUUGCUGAACCGCUUGUUCAAAGCUUUGUCACAUAACCAAGCACCUCGGCCUGUAAUCACUCCCUGUUCCAGGCACUAGAGACAUUUCAAGGCAAGAAUCAUUUUUAUAUUUGAAUUGAAGCAGGGUUUGACCAGGGCCAAUGUCGGUUUUGCCUCCUCAUAAAUUAAGCGUUUCAAAGGUUCAGGAACAUAACAAAAAUCAACAACCCCACCCCACCAAGACACUGCAUUCGUUCGUGGGCACAAAAGCACUUGCUCGGCCACCUCAGAAUGAGAAUAUAUGCAAAUCUCUAGAUGAUUUUGAUUUUGAGCUUUUAGUGAUUACUAUUAUUUAAAAAAAAAGGAUAACUGGGCCACUGUGUUACUCCAGUAGGUCUUCUGUGUGGAUACUAUCUAAUGUAUCUAUGUGGUACUUUGAAUUUUAUAUUGAGAUGUAUGCCAUAGAAUCUUGACCAUUUCUGUUUUGAAAUCUAACUAUGCCACAGAAUUGAAUAGAAUGGAGAGAAAUUUAUGAGACCAAACAUGGUGCUCUUUCGCCACAAGACCAG